CACAGAGCCUACUUCACAUCCACUUGAUGACUGCUCUUCUUUCCACUGCUAUUUUUAAGUGUUGGGGGUUAAGAAAGCAGAACACCUCCUGAUCACAUGUGUUUAUUAGAAGCAGUUGGUCAGAGGAGACCCCAGUGGCUUGUAGAUUCAAACCUCUCUCAGUUUUUCAGUAUUCUGACAACACGUGUGCCUCAGACAUCGCUGAUCAGAAGCUGCUGCCUAUUCCGCUCAUUAAGUGAAAACAAAACAAGAAAACCAACUGAAGAAAUGCUACAUUUCAAUCCUGGAGAUCACAUCUAGUUAUUGACUUGAAGUUGCAAGAUGCAUUAAGAAAACCCAAUCUCUGAGCUCCAGUUGAAAGAAUUGUUCCAGAACGGAGCUGCUCAAUUUGGAAGACGCUGAAUCUGUUUAGUGCAUUUGGAGUGUUGUUGAGGUGAAGAAGUAGAGAGAAGGUGCGAAGUAGCAGGAACAUGAUGGAGAAAUUGGUGACAAACUGAUGAAAUCCUUAGCUGUCCUAUUUAA